GACGUAGGAUGCGAGCGUUGUCCGGAUUUAUUGGGCGUAAAGAGUUCGUAGGUGGUUCGUUAAGUUUGGUGUUAAAGACCAGGGCUCAACCUUGGGACCGCACUGAAUACUGGCGGGCUGGAGUGUAGUAGAGGCAAGCGGAAUUCCAGGUGUAGCGGUGAAAUGCGUAGAUAUCUGGAAGAACACCGGUGGCGUAAGCGGCUUGCUGGGCUAUAACUGACGCUGAGGAACGAAAGCGAGGGUAGCGAAUGGG
rnacentral:rRNA from 1 species